GUGACUAAAGUACUAUGAUGAGAUCUUUUAUCACUUGGUUGACCUUUAUAUGUUACCAUUUCUUCUUUAAAUUGGUAAAUUUUGUGCAUUCUCAAAGACAAUUUGUGUAUAUCUCAGAUUGCUACCAAGAGGUAGCUUCUCCUUCUCAUCUCACAUCCAAAGGUAGGCUGUAAAUCAAUGCAGCUUACCUGCCUGGAGCCUAAACUGAGCCAUCAUUAUGGGGGAAGAAAGGGAAAGCUUUGUGUUAUUAGUGCCACAACUAAACUCCUAUAUAAAGUGAGCAGUUAUAGCUUCUUUGUAUAUAUCUUUCAUUGUCUUUAUUCAUGCUAUUUCUUUUUCCUGAAUUACUCUUCUCCUAUUCUCUACAAAUUCACCAGAUCCCAAUUUCAACAGCAUCUUCUAAGGCAUUUCCUAUCUUGAUAGCUAGAAUCAAUAACUUACUCAAGUUCACAGAUUCAUUGAUAGAGCCAUUAUUUAUAACUUUAUUACUAUUUUGAAAUAGUAACUAUUUUUAAAAGUACUGUUUAUGUGAAUCAUUUUAAAGGUCAUCCCAUAUAAGAACUGUUCUGUGUUUUCUUAGAUUAUAUGUUU
rnacentral:lncRNA from 1 species